GCAGAUUCACAUGAGGCAAACAUCUGCUGACAGCACACAACCGUAUGCAAGAGCAGGACUCUACCAUUUCAACCUCGGCAGAUGACUGGAGCUACUGCCAUGAUGAGUACACUACAGGAAGCAUUAUGUAGGCCAUUAAUAUUACGAAAAACAAAUGGCGAGUGCACGACUGGCAUGUGAAGCCCAGGAAGAUCUUGCAGUGCAACCAUGCAUGGCGUUAUACAGUCGGUAAGGUUCUCUUAAACAGGAGAAACUACAACACUACAAGAACAUAGUAACACAGGUCCAACCUUCUCGGAAUUCAAAAGCUACGCUAAACACUAGUUAUUCCAAUAGAGUUUGGUACGAUGCCAACGCUUUGUGCAAUAAAUACCCUCUUUUGCGUUCUCAUGAAUCUCAUCUGACAAAGACCAACCUUAUUAAAUGCCACCUUGAACGCCAAAUGCACCCUGCUGCUUCAUAACACUACAACAAUCGCCUGCUACUGUAGAUGAAGACAGUUCAAAUCAUCAGAAUGGAGACUAAGAAAUACAUUUGAAAGUAUCAAAUCUUUGUUAAUCAACAAUUCAACAUGGAUCUACAAGAAUGCUGUAAGGAGGACCAAGCUUCUACGGACGUUUCUGAAUAUAUUCCAUUAUAAAUGCAUUACAUAAC
rnacentral:lncRNA from 1 species